rnacentral:rRNA from 1 species
AGUGAACGCUGGCGGUAGGCCUAACACAUGCAAGUCGAACGGCAGCACAGUAAGAGCUUGCUCUUACGGGUGGCGAGUGGCGGACGGGUGAGGAAUACAUCGGAAUCUACUUUUUCGUGGGGGAUAACGUAGGGAAACUUACGCUAAUACCGCAUCAGACCUACGGGUGAAAGCAGGGGAUCUUCGGACCUUGCGCGAUUGAAUGAGCCGAUGUCGGAUUAGCUUGUUGGCGGGGUAAAGGCCCACCAAGGCGACGAUCCGUAGCUGGUCUGAGAGGAUGAUCAGCCACACUGGAACUGAGACACGGUCCAGACUCCUACGGGAGGCAGCAGUGGGGAAUAUUGGACAAUGGGCGCAAGCCUGAUCCAGCCAUACCGCGUGGGUGAAGAAGGCCUUCGGGUUGUAAAGCCCUUUUGUUGGGAAAGAAAAGCAGCAGGUUAAUACCCCGCUGUUCUGACGGUACCCAAAGAAUAAGCACCGGCUAACUUCGUG